UUUUGGAAAAAUUGUGGCGUAGUUUGAAUUGGGAAUGUUCCUCCACCACCUGCAAUUUGUAAUACAAGCAAUACGAUUGCAAUUGCUUUACCUGGGUUACCAAGUAAUGAUACGCACGUAUAUACGAUUGAGUUGAAAAUAAUCGAACAGAAAAUCGUUAUAAGUACAAAUAAUACAGGUGACUCAACUCCUGCUUUUAGGAUUAACAAAUCUCCAACCGAUACAAUGAGUGCUUGCAACAUACCAAGCAUUAUAAAGAAUCCUGCCUUACCUAAGAACACUUGUCUUGUCGUUAAGACUGACUCUAGACUCUUAUGUUUAUUAUCAACCGUUAAUAAACUUACCAUCAAGAGUGC
rnacentral:sRNA from 1 species